rnacentral:rRNA from 1 species
GACGAACCGUGCGAACGUUGUUCGGAAUCACUGGGCUUAAAGGGCGCGUAGGCGGGCUGUCAAGUCCGGGGUGAAAUCCUCCAGCUUAACUGGAGAACGGCCUCGGAUACUGACGAUCUCGAGGGGGAUAGGGGCACGCGGAACUGUGGGUGGAGCGGUGAAAUGCGUUGAUAUCCAUAGGAACUCCGGUGGCGAAGGCGGCGUGCUGGAUCCCUUCUGACGCUGAGGCGCGAAAGCCAGGGGAGCAAACGGG